UACGUAGGGGGCAAGCGUUGUCCGGAAUCAUUGGGCGUAAAGCGCGUGUAGGCGGCUUGGUAAGUCCGUUCUGAAAGCCCGGGGCUCAACCCCGGGAGGCGGAUGGAUACUGUCAAGCUUGAGUCCGGAAGAGGCGAGUGGAAUUCCCGGUGUAGCGGUGAAAUGCGCAGAUAUCGGGAGGAACACCAAUGGCGAAGGCAGCUCGCUGGGACGUGACUGACGCUGAGGAGCGAAAGCAUGGGGAGCGAACAGG
rnacentral:rRNA from 1 species